rnacentral:rRNA from 1 species
UACGAAGGGGGCUAGCGUUGCUCGGAAUCACUGGGCGUAAAGCGCGCGUAGGCGGCUUUGUAAGUUAGAGGUGAAAGCCCGGGGCUCAACCCCGGAAUUGCCUUUAAGACUGCAUCGCUUGAAUCCGGGAGAGGUGAAUGGAAUUCCGAGUGUAGAGGUGAAAUUCGUAGAUAUUCGGAAGAACACCAGUGGCGAAGGCGGCUCACUGGACCGGUAUUGACGCUGAGGUGCGAAAGCGUGGGGAGGCGAACAGG